GCCUCUAACCCGCAAAAUCAUUAUAAAAAAAACGUGCAUCUUAAUAUGUCGAAACAAUAAGCGUUCGUUAAAUAAGUUAUUGUACUGUACAAUUACUUCGACAGUAGCCUUUAACUUGUUAUGUUACAUUUGUGUGGUAAGAUCGAUUGAAGAUUAAGCCGAUUCGUGGAGACAGCCAUGAAGUUAGCUUGAUCUUCACAAGAAGAGCAGUCAAAACCCCGAUCCAUCAAUCGGAUGUUCUUCAACGCAUUUCAUAUGAAAAAACUAUACUCGGUUACGCUGCGUUCAAGGGCUCGAAAUAAUAUGUAUGCUCACCAAACUCACCAAGAUUUUGUGCUGGGAGAAAGCUGCGUGAUGUUCUCAGCAAUGGGAUGGACCGGCAUCUACCGCUACCAAUUGCUUUUUCUCACACCCCCUUCGCUGGAAACGCUGUUAUAAACAUAUGAACGAGCCAAUAUAUAUACGCCUCCAGCAAGCGCUUGUUUUGAGACCAUAACGACAUGCUACACCAUUUCACCCGCUUGGCCCGUUCAUGACCAGAUCAUUCGGCUCUCUGUCUUGUGCAGUGCGCUAUGAAUAAUAGCACCUGGUUGGCCACGUCUCGUUGUCCUCGUUACCGCCGUAUACUCACCAGAAGGACAUCUACAAGGCGCAGGAACUUCGUGGGAUGUGCGCUGCAAAAUUGGUAAUCACAAAAGGUAUUUUGCGCCGUUUAAAGCUAGUUCUAGGAACUUGCCAGAUUUCUGAAGGAGUUUCGCUGCUGAGGACGUGGCGGUAUCUAUCGCAUCUCGUAGACACCGACGAAACAGUCCGUCGCAUCUAUGAGGCAAAGUAGAGCCCAAUGGUCAAGUUGCAGUUCGUAUGAUUGCUUGUUGAGUAUAACAAGUAUUCGCUCGUACGGGGCCUUGUGAACCUGCAUUGCAUUGAACUUCACGAAGUUAGCGUACCUUUAUUUCGAGUUUUUAUUCUGUGUUCUUCUUUCGGGUAACUCCUGCAAGUUACUGGCGAGUAGGGUCAGCGCUGUGCAAUGGUGCGACAAGCUCGAAUUCUAGGUUGACGACACGCUGUUUUGAGAAACUCUUGUAACAUCAUAUCUCAAAAGCUUGCGAGAUAACUUUUGAUGGCCCCUAAUUUCCUUGGAUAUAGAAUUUUAUACACGUUUCAUCUUCCGAUGUGCGCGAGCUCUUGCAGCAGUAUAUCCUCUAGCUGGUCACUAGUAUCAUAUAUGUACUGUCUUGUCCCUUUUUUCAAGAGACGUUAAGGUUGGUGACUUCCGCAAAACCCAUUAGCGAUCUUUGUAGUGGUUCAAGUACUACUGAUUCCACUUUGAGGAAACACUCGAGGAAAUAAUGGAUAUGUUUCUUUAUUAAAAUAAGACUUCAACAGCUCUCUUGCACAGAUAUUACGUUUGUUGGCCUCCAGAUUUUUAUAAACAGAUCAUAUGGAAUGAAGGUGAAGGCAUGCCGAACGUAUGAAAAACUGUCGGCAUACUGCGAUCACUUCCACUUGAGAGGACCCCCUGCCCCUACCCUCAACCUCCACCUCUCACAAUCGUCCGCUUCAACUAGCACAGUAUGGUGGUCCAAAGAUCCCAUUACUGCAACUUAUAGACGAGGUCGUUUUUAUUCAACUUAAUAGAAGAGCUUGCGUUUACAAAUGUUGUACCGUUGCUCAGCCGGUUUCUUGCUGUUUGGACCUGUUUCGCCCGCCUCCUCUCUCUCUUUUCUUUCACCUAGUUCGCUCCCUCUAAUAGACGAGUUCAUUUGUCAUAUCUAAUUUAUGCUCAGAAGCGAAAUGUUGACACUGCUGAGUAAAAUUAGCAAGAAGAUUUAUUGGUACUAGGCCCAGUUAGAUAUGACGUUGGCAGAAAUACGACAAACUGCCCUCUUAGUAUAAUUCUGCGCAUUUUUCUAUUUUCACAUAAAACAGGCAUUUUCCGAGGGUCAUUGAGCUCAAGCAGAUCUCGAGUCAUACAAUUUUUGACAGGUAAACAAGAGUGAAGAUUUUGGUUUGGUAAUUAUAAUAAUUUGGACACAUCAAGCAGGUAAUUUCCGUCUUAUGAGCAUCACAGACUAAUUUCGAAAUAGUCAACGUUAUUUUUUUCUAAAUUCUGUAUUUUACUAUGUUUUAGUUGAGGACGAUGACUGUAUGCAUUUUUGCUAUAUAUUGUUGAAGAUAUUUCUGAUGAACUCGUUACUGAAGCCGACUGUCAUUUAGGUUCGUAACGUUUGUAGUUUUUAUCAAACAAAUAUGCUGUACGAAGCACGUUUUUAGUAUUAGCCGUAAAUGGCAUGCUACUGUUCCAUUGAGAUCUCUUUCGAACACAAUGUCUCACAUAGUUUAUUGAAAUCUCAAAAUGUUACGCCGGCCAAAAAGCAAUGCUUCGGAAAGGGCCUUAAUUAUCAUAAAGCCACCAUUUUAUUUGUUUUGUUGAAAUUACUGCUGUGAGUUAGUUUUCCGUGUUAAAGUAAAUAUUUUCCUUCUGUUUUCAAAUAUAGUUUCGAUUUUUCAUCUCGCCACAGUUUACGGCGUGUCUCAACAGAUUUAUGUUAAACGGUCUUUGCCUUUUGACCAAAGGUAGACCGUAAAAUUACAUUACAUGUUGGCUAUUCCUUCUAGCAAGAGACAGACUGUUCCCACUAACUGCUAGUUAACGGCUCAUGCAUAAUUUUAC